CAAACCUGAAAAUUUGGAACAAUCAAGGAAUCUUGUUUUUAAAAAAUCGCAUCGAGUUUGAUGGAAUUUAAGUGAAGUCCAACACUGUUUUAGGCACAUUUGGUAUCCCAGUCGGUGUGUCGAAUGAAUAUGAGUUACCGUACCUAUACUGGAUUCCUAAACUACAUAAAAACCCUUACAAAGAUACAUCGCUAGAUCCAGUAAAACCUCUACCAAGCCCCUAUCGUUGCUCAUCACGAAAAUAUUAACAGCUGUGAAAGAGAAACUUCAAACUUAUGGUACGACUACAUAUGCCAGAAGUGGUGUAAAUCUAAUGUGGAUUCUAGAAAAUUCCAAAGAACCUUUAGUAAACUCGAUGACUUUUCAACACUUUACACGACCAUUCCUCAUGAUAAAUCAAAGACUAGACUUUUUGACAUCUUAAACGGAAAUAUUCUUAUCUAGUGAUCAGUCAUCCAAAAAAUUACUUUGUUAAACACCACUCGGAUUCCACGCACAAGUAUUCUGAUGUUGUAAUAAAAAAAUUCGGCUUAAACAGUACUGAAGAGACAUUAUUUGUCGAAAUGCGCAUCUGGUGCAUCAAAAUUAGUACCGUAUAAGUUUUACGACCCCUGGGUCGAGACCUCUGCCGGUGGACUGUUAGUCCCCGAGGGUCUCUACAGCCCAGUAGCUAGUACUUCGUUACUAGCUUGAAA